GGCAACUGUGAGGGACUGGGAAGGGAUCAGGGGGGUUAUACUGGAACUGGGAGGAUUAUACUGGUAACUGGGAGGACUGGGAGGGUCAUACUGGGACAAACUCAGAGAUCCAGACCGCUACUGGGAGAGCCAUACUGGAAGUGGACAAGCCAUCCCAGUACCAAACGCACCCCACUGGUACUGGGGGGGGGGGCACAUACUGGUCCAGGAACCCCCCCAUACUGGUCUCAGUGACCCUAUACUGGUCUUGGGACCUCCAUACUGGUUGUAGAAUCCCCUUACUGGUCCCGGAGCCCCCCAUACUGGUCUCAAGACCCUCAUACUGGUCCCCAUACUGGUCUUACGGUUCCCACACUGGUCCUUGCCCCCCCAUACUGGUCUCAGUGUCCCCAUACUGGUCUCAGAACCCUAAUACUGGUCCCCAUACUGGUCUUAGGGCCCUGUACUGCCCCCAUACUGGUCCUAAAGUCUCCAUACUGGUCCCGGAGCCCCCCAUACUGGUCUUAGCAUCUUCAUACUGGUCUCAGGGCCCCUAUAUUUGUCCCUGGAUGCCCAUACUGGUCCCCAUACUAGUCCGUACUGGUCCUAGGACCCCUGUACUGGUCUGCAGGCCCCCAUACUGGUCUUAGAGCCCCAUACUGGUCCCUGUCACCCCAUACUGGUCUGAAGACACCCAAACUGGUCCCUAUACUGGUCUUAGGACCCCACACUGGUCCCUACCGGCCCCAUACUGGUCUUGGGGUCCCCUUACUGGCCCCCAUACUGGUCUUCGGGCCCCAUACUGGUACCUACCGACCCCAUACUGGUCCUUAGCCCCCCCCAUACUGGUCCCAGUCCCCCCAGUACCGCUCCCGGCCCCGGCCCCAAGGCCCCACCCGGGCCCUGUGGAUCCCCCCCCCCCGCCUCGGGUCCCGGCCCCUCACCUGCAGGCGGCGGCGGCGGCAGCGGCGCUGGAGCGGGCGGAGGCCGGGGCCCGGAGGCCCGGGGCCGGGAGGCCUCGGGGGGGGGGGAGGCUCCGGAGGCUCCGGCGGCGGCGGCGGCGCCGCGGGGGUUCCCCAGGCCAGGCCACACAAAAUGGCGGCCACAACAAACCGCCGCCGCCGCCACCGCCGCGCACGCGCGGCCACGCCCCUCGGCCGGGCCCCUUAGCCAAUCGGCGGGGAGGACGCCCGCAAGCCACGCCCAGCCGGGGGAAGGACCCGCCCCCCCGCGCGCAGGGCGCGUGCGCGGCACCGCCUCUCACCCCGCCCGACGGGGGUAACCGCCUCCUGUUCGAUGUGCGCAUGCGCAUCACCGCCCCCUCCCCCUGAGGUAACCGCCCCCCAUUCUAUCUGCGCAUGCGCCUCGUCCCUCCUACUCCCCCCUCCCACCAGAGAUACCCACCCCGUUUUCGAUCUGCGCAUGCGCACCACUUCCCCCUCCAGCUCCUCCCCCUCCCUCCCCUAAACUCCCGCCCUUUCUACUCUGCGCAUGCGCACCCCUUUCCCCCUCUCUCCCCCCUCCCA
rnacentral:lncRNA from 1 species